GCCGCGCCGCCAUACACGAUGGUCUGUUGCCUGAACAUGCACCAGGAACAGUGGUGUGGGAGAAUGUUGGUCAGUACAGUCAGUUCACUGCCACAGGUUCACAUUGGGGUGACGUCACUAGCACUGGGAAACCCUGCCCUGGGAGCGAAACCUCUGGUCCUGGACAAGAAGAAUCUGUGAUGUAGAUGAAAUAUCUCAUUGUCAAUAAACUAUCACACCAUAA